AACGAACGCUGGCGGCAUGCCUAACACAUGCAAGUCGAACGGGAUCCAGGCUUCGGCCUGGUGAGAGUGGCGGACGGGUGAGUAACACGUGGGAACCUGCCUUUUGGUUCGGGAUAACCGCGGGAAACUGCGGCUAAUACCGGAUGCUCCCGAGAGGGGGAAAGAUUUUAUCGCCAGAAGAGGGGCCCGCGUCCGAUUAGGUAGUUGGUGAGGUAAUGGCUCACCAAGCCGACGAUCGGUAGCUGGUCUGAGAGGAUGAUCAGCCACACUGGGACUGAGAUACGGCCCAGACUCCUACGGGAGGCAGCAGUGGGGAAUAUUGGACAAUGGGGGCAACCCUGAUCCAGCAAUGCCGCGUGAGUGAUGAAGGCCUUAGGGUUGUAAAGCUCUUUUGCCAGGGAAGAUGAUGACUGUACCUGGAGAAUAAGCCCCGGCUAACUUCGUGCCAGCAGCCGCGGUAAU
rnacentral:rRNA from 1 species